rnacentral:rRNA from 1 species
CCUACGGGCGGCAGCAGUGAGGAAUAUUGGUCAAUGGACGAGAGUCUGAACCAGCCAAGUAGCGUGAAGGAUGACUGCCCUAUGGGUUGUAAACUUCUUUUAUAUGGGAAUAAAAUGUUCCACGUGUGGGAUUUUGUAUGUACCAUAUGAAUAAGGAUCGGCUAACUCCGUGCCAGCAGCCGCGGUAAUACGGAGGAUCCGAGCGUUAUCCGGAUUUAUUGGGUUUAAAGGGAGCGUAGGUGGAUUGUUAAGUCAGUUGUGAAAGUUUGCGGCUCAACCAUAAAAUUGCAGUUGAAACUGGCAGUCUUGAGUACAGUAGAGGUGGGCGGAAUUCGUGGUGUAGCGGUGAAAUGCUUAGAUAUCACGAAGAACUCCGAUUGCGAAGGCAGUUCACUGGACUGCAACUGACACUGAGGCUCGAAAGUGUGGGUAUCAAACAGGAUUAGAUACCCCUGUAGUC